rnacentral:lncRNA from 1 species
ACAAGAUUAUGGCGAUCAACAGAUGGCUCAGGCAGGGAUGCUAUAAGGAGGGCUUUGGGAUGUACAGCCACUGGGAAGCAUUCGUGAACAGAGGACUGUUCUCUCGGGAUGGACUUCACCUGAGUAAGGAGGAAAAUAGACUUCUAGGAUGGAGGCUGGCACAACUGAUUAAGAGAGCUUUAAACUAGGAAUUUGGGGGAGAUGGUUGGGAGAUGUCCAGGUAAUCUCCACGCCGGAAUUUAACAUUGAGAGGGAAGAAAACAAAGUAAGAGAGGAUACAGCCGUGGGCAGGAGAAUGGACAUAAGGAGGAAGGGUAGUGUAGAUACCAGUCUAAUAGGUGAUACUGGUGGUUAGAAUCUCUGUGCCAAACUGGGUAAAGAAUGUCAGUGAAGCCAAACGGCAAAAAUUAAGAUGUCUGUACACUAAUGCGAGGAGCCUAGGUAACAAAAUGGAGGAACUAGAGCUACUGGUGCAGGAAGUGAAACCGGAUAUUAUAGGGAUAACAGAAACAUGGUGGAAUAGUAGUCAUGACUGGAGUACAGGUAUUGAAGGCUAUGUGCUGUUUAGGAAAGACAGAAAUAAAGGCAAAGGUGGUGGAGUAGCAUUGUAUAUCAAUGAUGAGGUUAACUGUAAAGAAAUAAGAAGUGAUGGAAUGGAUAAGACAGAGUCUGUCUGGGCAAAAAUCACACUGGGAAAGAAAGCUACUAGAGCCUCCCCUGAGAUAGUGCUUGGGGUGUGCUACAGACCGCCGGGAUCUGAUUUGGAUAUGGAUAGAGACCUCUUUAAUGUUUUUAAUGAAGUAAACACUAAUGGGAAUUGUGUGAUCAUGGGAGACUUUAACUUCCCAGAUAUAGACUGGAGGACAAGUGCUAGUAAGAAUAAUAGGGCUCAGAUUUUUCUGGAUGUGAUAGCUGAUGGAUUUCUUCACCAAGUAGUUGAAGAACCAACAAGAGGGGAUGCCAUUUUAGAUUUGGUUUUGGUGAGUAGUGAGGACCUCAUAGAAGAAAUGGUUGUAGGGGACAACCUUGGUUCGAGUGAUCAUGAGCUAAUUCAGUUCAAACUAGAUGGAAGGAUAAACAAAAAUAGAUCUGGGACUAGGGUUUUUGACUUCAAAAGGGCUAACUUUAAAGAAUUAAGGAAAUUAGUUAGGGAAGUGGAUUGGACUGAAGAACUUGUGGAUCUAAAUGCGGAGGAGGCCUGGAAUUACUUUAAGUCGCAGCUGCAGAAACUAUCAGAAGCCUGCAUCCCAAGAAAGGGGGAAAAAACCAUAGGCAGGAGUUGUAGACCAAGCUGGAUGAGCAAGCAUCUCAGAGAGGUGAUUAAGAAAAAGCAGAAAGCCUACAAGGAGUGGAAGAAGGGUGGGAUUAGCAAGGAAAGCUACCUUAGUGAGGUCAGAACAUGUAGGGAUAAAGUGAGAAAGGCUAAAAGCCAAGUAGAGUUGAACCUUGCAAAGGGAAUUAAAACCAAUAGUAAAA